rnacentral:rRNA from 1 species
CUUGAAAGUUUCUUCGGAAACGAUUGGGUGGCGGACGGGUGAGUAACGCGUGAAGAACUUGCCCUUAGGACUGGAACAACAGUUGGAAACGACUGCUAAAACCGGAUAUACUCUUUUUACGGCAUCGUAAGAAGAGGAAACACUAUAUGUGCCUAAGGAGAGCUUCGCGUCCUAUUAGCUAGUUGGUGGGGUAACGGCCUACCAAGGCGACGAUAGGUAACCGGCCUUAACGGGUGAACGGUCACAAGGGAACUGAGACACGGUCCUUACUCC